UGUGGUGCACUAGCGGGGGAGAGAAGGAGGCAAGGAGUGGGAAGCUUGGCUGCUGGUGGGUGUGGAGCACCCGCUAAAUUUUCCCCCUGCGUGCUCAAGCCCCGGAGCACCCACGGACUCGGUGCCUAUGCCCUAUGUACUAUUUUAAUAAUCUUUGUACAUAGUAUGUCUUGUGAGGCAUAAUUUGAAAACUCAUAAAUUGUUGGUCAGGAUCGUCCUGACAAAACGUGUGUCAACAUUGUCUGGAAAGUUCUAUAAGAUUUCCCCGUGUGAUGUUAUUAACCCAUGUUCCCAACCCCACAGCCCUACUGAGGCAGAAGUUGGCAAACAGGUGUAUCCUCAGGAAAGGAAUGUGUGCUUGCCUGAAUUUGCAUUUAAGCGGUAAACAGUCAUCAAGCAGGGACGGAAACAAAGGAAGCUCAAACAGAUGAGGAAAAGCCAGCAGGGAACAUCCUUCCACAUAGACUCUGUGUGCCCUAGUGCCCAGCUGCAAAUGUUUUUCAACCAUGGGACUGAAACUAUAAAAAGGAAGGACAAACACCCCAAACCCAUUCCUGCCCAUGGUAUUCACUACACCUGAAGAGCGGAAGGGAGUAUUCACUGGACACAGAGGAAGGGGGCCUGACCUACACAGUUUGGUCAGGAAGACUGCUGAAAGCAUGUGAGCGCACCCACAUUAGCAGCCCUUCCUUGAUAAAGUCGAGGACCAUCAGCAUCACUUGCCUGGAGAAGAUCGAAGAGUGAUCCUGAGCCACAACAUCUGCUCUGGUUCCGUGUUCCUCCUGCUCAAGCUACAUUGGGACAGUAGAAGUGGACCUCAUGGAUUGCCUGGUGACUGGUUCCAGUGGUCAUCAGCUGCUGUCCAUCUUCUGCUUGCCUCUGCCAUCAGGACCUGCAAGUAUAAAACCCAUAGUGUUGCCAAGGAUAGUUGGGAGCCAGGCUUCAUGCCUGUAUGGUUAAACCACUGAGGUGUUUAUUUGUUUAUCUUUUCCCCUGGGUUUCCCUACUUUCUUGUACACUUCCCUUAAUAAAUCAUGGUUUGUUUUGCACCUUAA